UGCUGAUCAAGAAUUAACUUCAUUUUCCAACAUUGACUCACUCUGCCUUUGUCUCUUUAACCCUUAUACACCCAUCUGUAUCUGUCUUCCUCUGUUCCUUUCUGUCCUCUUGUCCUUGCUUCCCCGUCCCCACCCCUUACUUGUCUGUCAGUUUAAGUGUUGUGGAGGUCAGGAGUAUAAAGACUGGGAGGUCAACAUGUACCACAACUGUUCUGGUCCUGGUCCACUGGCCUGUGGUGUUCCCUAUACCUGCUGCAUUGCUACUAAGCCUAAUGAAGUGGCCAACACUCUAUGUGGGUAUAAGGUUUUGGAAAAACAGCGUCUGGAAUUGCUGGAA